CUCUCCUUCUGUCUCUCUUCCCUUUUCUCCUUUUCCCCCCUCUAUGUUUUCCAUUUCUCUUUCUCUUCCCCCUAUGUCUUCAAACAAACCAGGGUUGGGGUUUGUAUUCAUUGAGUUCGACACCCUUAUGAACAAUAACUAGAUGUGUGAUAUGUAUAUCGAGUGUGGAUGGAUCUUGGGUUGGGAUGGGACGGGAUGGGAUGGGUCUCGCGGGGUGGGGAUGCGGAGUUGUAUGGUGGCGUUGGGCUUGGUAGUUUUCUAGGUAGAGAGAAAAACAGAGGAUGAGGGAGAGAGAAAGGAAGAGAAGGAUGGAGGGGGAAGGGGGGACCUAAAAGUUGGGUCGAGGAAUUGGGGUUCUAUGAGGUUGAUUCAGUGAAUGGGGUGAAUUAGAGGGUGUGUGGUCGAUGGGGGUUGAGAGAGAGAGAGAGAGAGAUAGAGAGAGGGAGAGAAAGAGAGAGUUGG
rnacentral:lncRNA from 1 species